CUCAAAUUAAUUGAUCACCUCUGAAGCUUUUCCUGAUACGAAAUCUGCAUCUCUAAUUCGGGCAUCAUGGGAGCCACAUCAGUCACCGGCUCCAUUCACUGCAGCUCCUCCUGCGUGGGUCAUCUCAAUGGGCCUCACACAGGCAAGAAUGAAGUCUAUGUCAUAAAGACAGCAAAGGAAAGCCAGCUGCUGUUACACACUUAGCAACAUCUUACAUCCAGCUGUGGCUGUCUGCACUAACAGAGUCAGUCUUCAUUUAAUUGCUUUAGGUGAUUAGAUAAAAACAGAUCACGGAGCACACAGGGACCUCAUGACCAAGUUGGCAAUGUGGAGAAAUGGAGGAGGGGGGCUGAAAGGGCUGCAGACCUUCCUGAAGCAGAGGAAAAUGAGUUGGGAUAACAGAGGGAUCGGCGGGGCAUGAACCUGUGGGGAAGUCCCACUAAUAGAGUCAGCUCUUGGCUGUGGCUCACUCUGAGCAAAGCCCAAGGUGCAGAGUGCAUGGUGUUGUGGUGUGCCAGCAGGAAGGCUGAGAACAGGGCCAGGGAGUCGGGGGAGAGAGGACAUCAGGGUCAGGAGCAGCUCCACUGAACAGAACGAAAUGCGGAAGAGUUACAAGAUGCAGACUGCUGCCAAUGCAAUUCCAGCAGCUGCUCUGCGGGAGGAAAGCACCAUAUUUAGCAAUAUUUCCCUUGCAGAGAAGAGCUGGAAACUCAGGAGUUUCUGCUCCCUGUGUUCCAGCUCUUUGCAACAUCACUCAGCAGCUGCAGCAUCACUGGGAGCGAGCUGCAAGAGCCAAAUGGUUUGAACAAGGAAAGUUAGCCUUGUACCCAGACCUCUUUGUUUGGCUUGCUAACAGGUUAAUGACACUAACAAUUCAUUCUUGGGUUUGCUUAUAAACAGCGUUUCUUCAGUCCGCAUUAACUGCAUGGAGUGUUUGCUAUGCCCUAAAAGCUAACUGUGAAAAAUGAGAGGUGACAGUUAUACUUGGCAGAGGGAAACAACAAAUAUAAGACGUGGUGGUCUACUGGUGGAAGACUGUGGUCUGGGAGGAGGUUUCAAACUUGCCUGAAAAAGCCUGGCGCACAGCCUGAUUGGCAAGCUGCUGUGUAAAUACAUGUUUUGAAAGAUCCUCGUGGGCCCCUUCCAACUCAGGAUAUUCUAUGAACACAUCAACAUACGAGAGAAGAGAGUAUGGACACUUGCUGCUGACAGAACAGAAGGCAAUCACAAGACAGAGUGGUGCCAGGAGAGGUGUUGCUGCGUGCCACUGCCUGGAAAGCCCUGGUGGGACAACACCAAAGUCAUCCUCCAGUUUCCUCAGAAAGUGUUUCUUCCCUUAACACCAACAAAUCAAUGUGCAGCACUGAGUAGAGACACCUAAAUUCCCUUUCUCUCCUCAUUCCAUGCCAACUCAGCGAGAUGGCCUUCCCUUCACUUACUCAAGGUAGCUCAUAUAUUUCUGCAGUGCUCACAGGAGCAGACGUACCCCUUUGAUGUGUUCCUCCUAUAAAAACUCCCCUGCUCUACACUUCUUUGCUUCUCUUUUCCAUUUCCUGAUGUAUUUCUCACCACUCUCCUAAUUCUCCCAUUAAACUUGGGGCCUUUGUGUCCGUUACACAAGCUCUUUGUGCUGCUAAAGCCACGCCAUGCAACAAAUACAGCCUUUCACCUAGUUGGCCACAGCACCGAGUCUGUUCUCUUCCCAUCGCCCUGGCUAGUUUUGUGCCCAAGAGCCAAACAAAACCUAGAACAAGUGCCACAGAGAGCCUUGCCAACAUUACAGCCUGUGCUACAGAAAGAUGAUAGCACUGUUGCUGGGUGGUUUUUUUGUUUGUUUUGUU